rnacentral:rRNA from 1 species
UACAGAGGGGGCAAGCGUUGUUCGGAAUUACUGGGCGUAAAGGGCGCGUAGGCGGCCUUCUAAGUCGAACGUGAAAUCCCCGGGCUCAACCCGGGAACUGCGUCCGAUACUGGAAGGCUUGAAUCCGGGAGAGGGAUGUGGAAUUCCAGGUGUAGCGGUGAAAUGCGUAGAUAUCGGGAGGAACACCAGUGGCGAAGGCGACUUCCUGGCCUGUUCCUGACGCUGAGGCGCGAAAGCUAGGGGAGCAAACGGG